GCCCAGGUAGCUCAGGUGGGAAAGCAUCAGGCUUGUAAUUUGCAGGUCCAGGGUUCAAGCCCCUGUCUGGGCA